UACCGGCGGCUCGAGUGGUGGCCACUAUUACUGGGCUUAAAGCGUCCGUAGCUGGAUUGUUAAGUCUCUUGGGAAAUCUACCGGCUUAACCGAUAGGCGUUCAAGAGAUACUGGCAAUCUAGGGACCGGAAGAGGUGAGAGGUACUCCAGGGGUAGGAGUGAAAUCCUGUAAUCCUUGGGGGACCACCUGUGGCGAAGGCGUCUCACCAGAACGGCUCCGACAGUGAGGGACGAAAGCUGGGGGA
rnacentral:rRNA from 1 species